UUGCAGGUGUUGCUCUGGUAACAAUGUCUGACGGCCAACUAACCAGCAUAACCAGCAUGCUGGCUGCUCAUGCCACAUAACUUAAAGCAGUGAUAAAAGUAUCUACUUUGGAAAUGUGCCUCACCAGUAAGAGAUGGCAGUUUUGACUUGGUUUCCAUAUGAAAGGCCUUGGCUGCAACGUUGGAUGAAGCUUCUGACUCCUGGCACGAGAACCUUCAGAAGCUUCUGAUCCUCCUCUAUGACUCUGGACAGCAAAGCUAAGACAGCGCAGACACAUGUCUCAUUUCACAAUAAAUCCUUCAACUUCUUUUUCAUACAAAGAGCCAAAUACAGCACUUCUUAAUGUGUAAUUAAAGCAUGAUAAAAUCUUCA